AUCCAAGAGCUAAGAGACCUAAGGGAGAAAAAUACAGAAAAAGAAAAGUUGCUACUGUUCCAUUGAGACUUGGCUCUACACCUCGAAAUUUUCACUCUCUGAAACAUUUUUUUGGUCUGGACUUUGAAAUGGUUUGAGGUUUAGUCAGUGAGGUCAGAUUUUGGUGUUUAUCGAAUUGGCUAUGUGUUUUGAAGCUGGUGUUAGCUUACUGAAUUGCAUUUUACUGGGUUUUGAACUAUGAAGUUACUGUUUUAUUGGAUUUGGAACUAAUUCUGUGGUUUCAUCACUGAAUCUGGGCUGUUUUGUUGCUGCUAUCAAUCUCUGUUGAAGUACAAACUGUUGAUCCUUCUUUAUUUACUUGUUCCUUUCAUUUCAGGUACUCACACCUUCCAAUGUAUGAAAAUGGAUAAAUAUGAAGAUUGGUUCACUUGAAUAGAGAUUUAUAAUAAUGUAGUUGUUAUUCAAAAAAAAAGCUGCAAUCCGCCGUUUUCCUAUCAGACCUCCCCCACGCUCCUGCUUCUUCAUUCCUCAUCACCAUUAGAGAGCCUUAGACAGAGGAGCCGAAGCAGCUCCGCAAACCCCAAUAUCCAAAACACAAACAACCUCCAUGAUCGUCUUCUUCAUCAGAAAAGCCCCAAGAGAUGUACACUUGAGGAAGCAGUAGUUACACCCAAACAACCAUAUCAGUUCUAUUAGAUUUCUCAAUCAAAAAUCCAGAAACACUUUGUUUUUUUUUGUGGAUUUUGAUUUCAAAGAUGGAGUCGGUUUGAAUUAUUUGAUUCGAAUUUCCAUUUGAAGUUCGAGUUUGCCGAUGAUAACAUUUCUGUUCUUCAUUUGAUUCUGAUAUUCUGCUCUUCGAGUAUAGGAGUGGAGUUAAAUCAAGGUUGAUUCCAGUUCAUCGCCGGUGAAGUUCCCUAUGCCCAGUCCGGCUUGUUCGAGCUCUCUCGUCGAGCUUGUAUCUUUGUAUUCAUCUCCAUGUAUAUAAAGAAAUUGGGAGUAGAAGUAUAUCCCAUUGGAGUAGAACAAGUAAGUUGCUUUGCUUUUUCUUUCUAGGCUAUUCAAGUUAAUGGACUAUUUUUAUAGAAUUAUCAUUUUGCUUAGAUCUUGACAGUUGGUAUUGGGAAUGUGUGGAAUAUUUGGUAUUUCUGUUUGCACUUGACCCUUUCUAUUUCAAAUU
rnacentral:lncRNA from 1 species